rnacentral:rRNA from 1 species
AUUGAACGCUAGCGGCAGGCCUAAUACAUGCAAGUCGAACGGUCCACUUCGGUGGAUAGUGGCGCACGGGUGCGUAACACGUAUGCAACCUACCUUACAUUGGGGGAUAGCCUUUCGAAAGGGAGAUUAAUACCGCAUAAGACAGUAACAUGGCAUCAUGUAGCUGUUAAAGAUUUAUCGAUGUAAGCUGGGCAUGCGUCCAAUUAGUUAGGUGGUGAGGUAAUGGCUCACCAAGACGAUGAUUGGUAGGGGAACUGAGAGGUCAAUCCCCCACACUGGCACUGAGAUACGGGCCAGACUCCUACGGGAGGCAGCAGUAGGGAAUAUUGGGCAAUGGACGCAAGUCUGACCCAGCCAUGCCGCGUGCAGGAAGAAGGCGUUCUGCGUUGUAAACUGCUUUUAUAUAGGAAGAAACGACCCUUGCGAGGGGCAUUGACGGUAUUAUAUGAAUAAGCACCGGCUAACUCCGUGCCAGCCGCCGCAGUAAGAC